rnacentral:rRNA from 1 species
AUGGUGGUGGAGAGGUCAUGGUACAACUUCUCCACACCGGACAUGUACGGCAACGAGGUGCUGCCCAAGAGAUUCCCAAGCGGUGUCCCCUUUGUUAUCGAUUUUUCCAUCCCGAAUGGUUCAUGUCCCACGAAAGGCCAGCAGCCACCAUGGGACUAUGCCUGUGUCAGCGGCAACAGCUCAUGUGUCAAUGCGAUUAGUGGCCAUGGCUAUGUCUGCAAGUGUUGGGAACAUUACGAUGGCAACCCUUAUAUCGCCAAUGGAUGCCAAGACAUCGAUGAGUGCAAGCUCCGCAAUUUGUAUCCUUGCUCCAGUGACGGGAUCUGCAAAAACACCUUGAGAGGCUAUGACUGUCCAUGUAAGCCUGGGAUGAAAGGCAACGGCAUAAAAGGAACCUGCACAGAUAAAUUCCCCGCAGCAGCACGGGUGAUUUUGGGUGGAAUAGGUGGUGUUUUUGUCAUGGCAGCCAUAUCAUUCCUUAUUCUUCUUCGCAAAGAGAAAAAGAAAUCUAGGGAAUUCUAUGAGAAGAACGGUGGGCGUACAUUAGAGAAUGCAAAAUUCAUAAAACUGUUUGAGAAGGAGAAACUCAAGCCAAUUUUGAACAGCAGCAAUUUUAUUGGAAAAAGGUGGCUUCGGCGAAGUUUACAAGGGCAUUCUUGA